rnacentral:rRNA from 1 species
UACAGAGGGUGCGAGCGUUUAAUCGGAAUUACUGGGCGUAAAGCGAGUGUAGGUGGUUGUCCAAGUUGGAUGUGAAAGCCUUGAGCUCAACUCAAGAAAUGCAUUCAGGACUGGGCGGCUAGAGGACCGGAGAGGAUAGUGGAAUUCCGAGUGUAGAGGUGAAAUUCGUAGAUAUUCGGAAGGAACACCAGUGGCGAAGGCGGCUCACUGGUCCAUUACUGACGCUGAGGUGGCGAAAGCGUGGGGAGCAAACAGG